rnacentral:rRNA from 1 species
UGGGGAAUUUUGGACAAUGGGCGCAAGCCUGAUCCAGCAAUGCCGCGUGCAGGAUGAAGGCCUUCGGGUUGUAAACUGCUUUUGUACGGAACGAAAAAGCUCUCUCUAAUACAGGGGGUGAAUGACGGUACCGUAAGAAUAAGCACCGGCUAACUACGUGCCAGCAGCCGCGGUAAUACGUAGGGUGCAAGCGUUAAUCGGAAUUACUGGGCGUAAAGCGUGCGCAGGCGGUUUUGUAAGACAGAGGUGAAAUCCCCGGGCUCAACCUGGGAACUGCCUUUGGGACUGCAAAGCUGGAGUGCGGCAGAGGGGGAUGGAAUUCCGCGUGUAGCAGUGAAAUGCGUAGAUAUGCGGAGGAACACCGAUGGCGAAGGCAAUCCCCUGGGCCUGCACUGACGCUCAUGCACGAAAGCGUGGGG